CUUGCUUGAUAGGUAUUAAGACUUAAGACCCUUGUCUAUUUUUUGAUUUUCGUUAUAUGCAACAUUAGACAAAUUGGUGUACAAUAUAUGCCAAUAUACUUGAUCAGAAAACUGUUGGUUGUUUGCUUACCUAGCAUUCAUAAAAGUUCAGAAAACGGCUGCCUAGUAACAAAAACUUGAACAUGACUGGUUUCAUAUUGGGUUUUAGUAAGUGUUGAAUGAUGAUGAUAGUCUGUAGAUUUAAUUGAAACACUGUUAAGGAAUUUGCAGUAAGUGGAUGCUUGGUGCAGGUUAUAUUUCAUCAUUAUGAAGUUGAGUGUAGCAUAUAACACAAUGGUAUUAUGCUCUUUUGAAUGUCUCGG
rnacentral:misc_RNA from 1 species